AGAACGAACGCUGGCGGCAUGCCUAACACAUGCAAGUCGAACGAGACCUUCGGGUCUAGUGGCGCACGGGUGCGUAACGCGUGGGAAUCUGCCCUUGGGUUCGGAAUAACAGCGAGAAAUUGCUGCUAAUACCGGAUGAUGACGUAAGUCCAAAGAUUUAUCCGCCCAAGGAUGAGCCCGCGUAGGAUUAGCUUGUUGGUGAGGUAAGAGCUCACCAAGGCGACGAUCCUUAGCUGGUCUGAGAGGAUGAUCAGCCACGACUGGGACUGAGACCACCGGCCCAGACCUCCGUACGGGAGCAGCGAGGUAGGGAAUAGUUGGACAGUGGGACGAAAGCCUGACUACCAGACAAGUCGCCG
rnacentral:rRNA from 1 species